AUUGAACGCUGGCGGCAGGCCUAACACAUGCAAGUCGAGCGGAUGAAGGGAGCUUGCUCCUGGAUUCAGCGGCGGACGGGUGAGUAAUGCCUAGGAAUCUGCCUGGUAGUGGGGGGGAACGUCCGGAAACGGGCGCUAAUACCGCAUACGUCGUGCGGGAGAAAGUGGGGGAUCUUCGGACCUUCCGCUAUCAGGUGAGCCUAGGCGGGAUUUGCGAGUUGGUGGGGUAAGGGCCUGCAAGGGCGACGAUCCGUUACUGAUCUGUGGGGGUGGUCAGUGACCGGGGAGGUGAGACACGGUCCAGGGUCCUACGGGAGGGCGCAGUGGGGAAUGGUGGACAAUGGGGGAAAGCCUGAUCCAGCGAUGGCACGCGUGUGAAGAAGGUCUUCGGAUUGUAAAGCACUUUUAGUUGGGAGAAAGGGCAGUAAGUUAAUACCUUGCUGUUGUGACGUUACCAGCUGAAGAAGCACCGGCUAACUUCGUG
rnacentral:rRNA from 1 species